GAAGAAGCACCGGCUAACUCCGUGCCAGCAGCCGCGGUAAUACGGAGGGUGCGAGCGUUAAUCGGAAUUACUGGGCGUAAAGCGUACGCAGGCGGUUUGUUAAGCGAGAUGUGAAAGCCCCGGGCUCAACCUGGGAACUGCAUUUCGAACUGGCAAACUAGAGUGUGAUAGAGGGUGGUAGAAUUUCAGGUGUAGCGGUGAAAUGCGUAGAGAUCUGAAGGAAUACCGAUGGCGAAGGCAGCCACCUGGGUCAACACUGACGCUCAUGUACGAAAGCGUGGGGAGCAAACAGGAUUAGAUACCCUGGUAGUCCACGCCGUAAACGAUGUCUACUAGAAGCUCGGAGCCUCGGCUCUGUUUUUCAAAGCUAACGCAUUAAGUAGACCGCCUGGGGAGUACGGCCGCAAGGUUAAAACUCAAAUGAAUUGACGG
rnacentral:rRNA from 1 species